UACGGGGGGGGCAAGCGUUGUUCGGAAUUACUGGGCGUAAAGGGCUCGUAGGUGGCCAACUAAGUCAGACGUGAAAUCCCCAGGCUCAACUUGGGAACUGCGUCUGAUACUGGAUGGCUUGAAUUCGGGAGAGGGAUGCAGAAUUCCAGGUGUAGCGGUGAAAUGCGUAGAUAUCUGGAGGAAUACCGGUGGCGAAGGCGGCAUCCUGGACCGAUAUUGACACUGAAUCGCGAAAGCUAGGGGAGCAAACGGG
rnacentral:rRNA from 1 species